rnacentral:rRNA from 1 species
UUACCGAGUGAGGGCCCUCUGGGUCCAACCUCCCACCCGCUGNUUUAUUUUACCNUUUUAGGGUUCGGCGGGCCCGCCUUAACUGGCCGCCGGGGGGCUCACGCCCCCGGGCCCGCGCCCGCCGAAGACACCCUCGAACUCUGUCUGAAGAUUGUAGUCUGAGUGAAAAUAUAAAUUAUUUAAAACUUUCAACAACGGAUCUCUUGGUUCCGGCAUCGAUGAAGAACGCAGCGAAAUGCGAUACGUAAUGUGAAUUGCAAAUUCAGUGAAUCAUCGAGUCUUUGAACGAACAUUGCGCCCCCUGGUAUUCCGGGGGGCAUGCCUGUCCGAGCGUCAUUGCUGCCCUCAAGCACGGCUUGUGUGUUGGGCCCCGUCCUCCGAUCCCGGGGGACGGGCCCGAAAGGCAGCGGCGGCACCGCGUCCGGUCCUCGAGCGUAUGGGGCUUUGUCACCCGCUCUGUAGGCCCGGCCGGCGCUUGCCGAUCAACCCAAAUUUUUAUCCAGGUUGACCUCGGAUCAGGUAGGGAUACCCGCUGAACUUAAGCAUAUCAAUAAGCGGAGGA